AUUGAACGCUGGCGGCAGGCCUAACACAUGCAAGUCGAACGAGUGGCGGACGGGUGAGUAAUGUCGGGGAAACUGCCUGAUGGAGGGGGAUAACUACUGGAAACGGUAGCUACUACCGCAUACCAUCGGAUGUGCCCAGAUGGGAUUAGAUAGUAGGUGGGGUAAAGGCUCACCUAGGCGACGAUCCCUAGCUGGUCUGAGAGGAUGACCAGCCACACUGGAACUGAGACACGGUCCAGACUCCUACGGUAGGCAGCAGGGGGGAAUAUUGCACAAUGGACGCAAGCCUGAUGCAGCCAUGCCGCGUGGAUGAAGAAGGCCUUCGGGUUGGAAAGUACUUUCAGCGGGGAGGCGUUACCCGCAGAAGAAGCACCGGCUAACUCCGUGCCAGCAGCCGCGGUAAUAC
rnacentral:rRNA from 1 species